GAAGUGAUUCAGUCUCUACUGUCUGAUGAGCCUCUCAAUCUCAUCAUGGAGCUGUAGGUAAUCUUCAAUAUCGUGAUCAUGGUCACAAUAAUAAUGGCAGUACUUAUUUGGAUCACGAUGGCGCUCUGACUUCGUCCGCAUCUGAGGAGGCUAGGGAAGCUCGGUACAGAUUUCCAUCAACACCUCCUCCUAGAAACGGUUAAAGGUGUGUAAUUAUUAUAAUAUCGAGGGGGUGAGGGUCGCUGAUCCCUUCUUUGAGGACUUCAAGAUCG
rnacentral:lncRNA from 1 species